AACUUCAUCCGAAAAAUAUGUGACUAUUGCCAGCUAUAAAAUGAAGACAUACAAAAAUUCCCAAAAUGAGUAUCUCCAAGCUGAGAGGAAAUAUAUUUAUGUACUGAUAAGUAUAUCAUAUCACCUACAGCUAAGAUUAUAUACUUGAACCUACAGUACGUAACAAAAUGCAUGAAUCUCGUUUACAGUACAAUAGGACGUAUAAGCUUACACUUAUCCGAAAUCGAUAAAGACGCUUUUUUCUUAAACUGCAGUAUCACAAUGUGAACAUUAUAGUUUGCAUAUAAGUUACGAGGGGGUGAAAACGCCUAGAGUCCAGCUAUAUGAAGAAAAUGGACUUUGACUCUGAUUUGCAGGUAAUCAGAGGGGAAGUAUUUGAUAGUAUGAAAGACAAAAGCUACAAGGUAUCUAUAGUGUUGGAAAAUAAUUGUGACAUUAAAGAAGCCACCUGCAUUUGUCCCAGGGGUAUAAAAUGCUAUCACAUUGCGGCGUUGGCACUUUUUGUGCAUUACAAUAUAUCUGUAACAGAUAAAGCAGUGCAUGGAAGGCACUACCUAAACCGAAGGUUGGGCUAGUGAAAUCUGCAGAAGAGCUUUACCCGCUAAAUUUACUGGAAAAUGGAUUUCCGGUAAUUGAAGAAAUAAUUUCUUCCAAGGACUUUUUGGAGGCCACAGAUAAACUGACUGUGUUCAAAGAAAAAUGUGCUGUUGAUGAUCAGCUAAUAAAAUAAAUAUCUGUCACCCCCUACUGGCCAGGUGUCAAAUGAAAAAUGGUACCUUGAAAGAAAAUUUAGAUUAACUGUUAGCAACUUCGGUGCUAUUAUUACAGCAUGCAGGAGAAACAGAUUCUCAGUGAGUUUGUUCAACACACUCUUAGGUGAAUACAAUUUGGAUGGUAUCAAAGCAAGCCAGUGGGGUAGAACUCAUGAAAAAGAUGCUCUAGAUCAUUUGAAGCAGAUUUAUAAUUUAAAUGUUUGGCCAACUGGAGUAUGGCUUACAAAUUCAGGACUUCUUGGUGCUAACCAAGAUGGAAUAAUUGGCGAAGAAGCCAUUGUAGAAGUGAAAUGCCCAUAUUCUUUCAGAAAUGAUAUAUUGAGGAAUUUAAAAAAAUAUAUAAAUUUUUAUGACAAUGAGGGUAACUUGAUCAAGUAACAAAUUGUAGUUGUUUACUUUAUGAAAAUUGUGGUUGGAUUUACAGGCUUUUAUUAAAUUAGCAAAACAGUAUUAUUAUUGCUUGCCGAAAAAUUGAGGAAUUUUAAUAAAUAUAGUUUUUAGAUGAUGAGUGUAACUUGAUCUUAAAUACAAGUCACAAUUAUUAUCACCAAAUUCAAGGAGUUUUACAUAUUUUAAAAAAGAAAAAAUGUUACUUAUGUAUUUAUACCUUGAAGGAAACAGUUGUGACUAUUGUAGUUUGACGAUUCAUGGAAAGAAAAUAUUUCACUCUUAGAAAAUUUCUAUAUAGAACAAUACUUACCAAAGUUGUUAGACAAUUAAAAAAAAAUUUUUGACAUGUUUUUCAAUGUGAUUUUGGGUUAUUUUACAGUGUUCCAUCCAUAUGACGAAUUUUUAUAUGCAUUAUUAUGAACAAGGGUUUGAACUGAACCCGAACCAGAGUCCGGAACGUUUUUUUUCUGCUGAACCGGAACUCGAACCGAUGCAAAACAUAUACGUGAACGUGUUUUAGGAACUAGGUGGAUAGCUAGUUCAUUCAGAACUGUUAAUGCAGUUUGGCAAAAUUUAAAAUCUCUUGCUGAACAUUUUCAUCAAGCCGCAACUGAUGAAACUCGUUCAAAAACUGAGUGUAUACAUUGGUGUAAAAAAAUGUAUCAUGUCUAAACAGUUUAUAAUUAACUUGGCAUUAAUGUAUGACGUUUUGUAUGAACUUUCCAUCUUGUCUGAAGCAUUACAUACAUAUAAAAUGGGUUUCGUAAUGAUUUUCGUUUUCUUUCCUUUUUAUGCUAUAUACAAGGCCGAUCCUGGCGACGGGCGAAAAUUGGGGGAAAUCUGGGACAUGAGACCUAAAAAAACAUCGUCCCCCAGGAUUAUCAUGGAAAAUCAUCCCCCCGUCGUUAAACUUUUGACAUGAGAAUGCACAGAGCGGCCGCAUACCCAGGAUCGGCCCUGUCUAUAUAAUGAUAUAUACGCGUUCCGGUAAAAAAAGGUUACAAGGUUUUCUACAGUUUGCUUUC